rnacentral:rRNA from 1 species
GAUGAACGCUGGCGGCGUGCCUAAUACAUGCAAGUCGAGCGAACAGAUGAGGAGCUUGCUCCUCUGACGUUAGCGGCGGACGGGUGAGUAACACGUGGAUAACCUACCUAUAAGACUGGGAUAACUUCGGGAAACCGGAGCUAAUACCGGAUAAUAUAUUGAACCGCAUGGUUCAAUAGUGAAAGACGGUUUUGCUGUCACUUAUGGAUGGAUCCGCGCCGCAUUAGCUAGUUGGUAAGGUAACGGCUUACCAAGGCAACGAUGCGUAGCCGACCUGAGAGGGUGAUCAGCCACACUGGAACUGAGACACGGUCCAGACUCCUACGGGAGGCAGCAGUAGGGAAUCUUCCGCAAAGGGCGAAAGCCUGACGGAGCAACGCCGCGUGAGUGAUGAAGGUCUUCGGAUCGUAAAACUCUGUUAUUAGGGAAGAACAAAUGUGUAAGUAACUAUGCACGUCUUGACGGUACCUAAUCAGAAAGCCACGGCUAACUACGUG